rnacentral:rRNA from 1 species
GACAGGAGGGUGCAAACGUUGUUCGGAAUUACUGGGCGUAAAGCGUGUGUAGGCGGUCACGUAAGUCGGAUGUGAAAGCCCUGGGCUCAACCCAGGAAGUGCACUCGAUACUGCGUGGCUUGAGUACUGGAGAGGUUGGUGGAAUUCUCGGUGUAGAGGUGAAAUUCGUAGAUAUCGAGAGGAACACCGGUGGCGAAGGCGGCCAACUGGACAGAUACUGACGCUGAAACACGGAAAGCGUGGGGAGCAAACAGG